UACGUAGGGCGCAAGCGUUGUCCGGAAUUAUUGGGCGUAAAGAGCUCGUAGGCGGUUUGUCGCGUCUGCUGUGAAAACCUAAGGCUCAACCUUGGGCUUGCAGUGGGUACGGGCAGACUAGAGUGCGGUAGGGGUGACGUGGAAUUCCUGGUGUAGCGGUGGAAUGCGCAGAUAUCAGGAGGAACACCGAUGGCGAAGGCAGGUCACUGGGCCGCAACUGACGCUGGAGG
rnacentral:rRNA from 1 species